rnacentral:rRNA from 1 species
AACGAACGCUGGCGGCAUGCCUAACACAUGCAAGUCGAACGAAACCUUCGGGUCUAGUGGCGCACGGGGGCGUAACGCGUGGGAAGCUGCCCUUAGGUUCGCAAUAACUCCCCGAAAGGGGUCUUAAUAACGGAUAAUGUCUUCGGACCAAAGAUUUAUCGCCUUUGGAUGGGGGCGCGUUGGAUUAGGUGGUUGGUAGGGUAAAAGCCGGUCAAGGCGACGUUCCAUAGCUGGUCUGUGAGGAUGAUCAUCCACACUGGGACUGAGACACGGACCAGACUCCUACGGGAGGCAGCAGUGGGGAAUAUUGGACAAUGGGCGCAAGCCUGAUACAGCAAUGCCGCGGGAGUGAUGAAGGCCUUAGGGUUGUAAAGCUCUUUUACCCGGGAUGAUAAUGACAGUACCGGGUGAAUAAGCUCCGGCUAACUCCGUG